rnacentral:rRNA from 1 species
UUGGACUCAACGCCGGGCAGCUCACCGGAUAAGACAGCUGGAUGAUAGCCGGGCUGAAGACUCUGCUUGACUAGCUGAGAGGAGGUGCAUGGCCGUCGUCAGUUCGUACUGUGAAGCAUCCUGUUAAGUCAGGCAACGAGCGAGACCCACGCCAACAGUUGCCAGCAUGUCCUCCGGGAUGAUGGGGACACUGUUGGGACCGCCUCUGCUAAAGAGGAGGAAGGAAUGGGCAACGGUAGGUCAGCAUGCCCCGAAUUAUCCGGGCUACACGCGGGCUACAAUGGUCAGGACAAUGGGUAUCGACACCGAGAGGUGGAGGCAAUCUCCUAAGCCUGUCCUUAGUUCGGAUUGUGGGCUGCAACUCGCCCACAUGAAGCUGGAAUCCGUAGUAAUCGCGUUUCAAAAUAGCGCGGUGAAUAUGUCCCUGCUCCUU